GGUUCGAUCAUGGCUCAGAUUGAACGCUGGCGGGAUGCUUUACACAUGCAAGUCGAACGGCAGCAGACGGACUUCGGUCUGGUGGCGAGUGGCGAACGGGUGAGUAAUGUAUCGGAACGUGCCCAGUAGCGGGGAUAACUACGCGAAAGCGUAGCUAUACGUAUGCCCUUCGGGGGAAAGCGGGGGACCUUCGGGCCUCGCACUAUUAGAGCGGCCGAUAUCGGAUUAGCUAGUUGGUGGGUAACGGCUCACCAAGGCGACGAUCCGUAGCUGGUUUGAGAGGACGACCAGCCACACUGGGACUGAGACACGGCCCAGAUUCUACGGGAGGCAGCAGUGGGGGAAUUUUGGACAAUGGGGGAAACCCCGAUCCAGUCAUCCCGCGUGUGCGAUGAAGGCCUUCGCUGUGGAAGCACUUUUGGCAGGAAGGCUUGGCACGGGAUAAUACCCUGUGCACCGACGGUACCUGCAGAAUAAGCACCGGCUAACUACGUGCCAGCAGCCGCGGUAAUACGUAGGGUGCAAGCGUUAAUCGGAAUUACUGGGCGUAAAGCGUGCAGGCGGUUCGGAAAAGAAAGAUGAAAUCCCAGAGCUUAACUUUGAACUGCAUUUUUAACUACCGAGCUAGAGUGUGUCAGAGGGAGGUGGAAUUUUGCGUGGCAGUGAAAUGCGUAGAUAUGUGCGGAGGAACACCGAUGGCGAAGGCAGCUUCCUGGGAUAACACUGACGCUCAUGCAUGAAAGCGUGGGGAGCAAACAGGAUUAGAUACCCCGGUAGUCCACGCCUCAAACGAUGUCAACUAGCUGUUGGGGCUUUCAAGCCUUGCAAAGAGGCUAACGCGUGAAGUUGACCGCCUGGGGAGUACGGUCGCAAGAUUAAAACUCAAAGGAAUUGAUGAUUCAAAAGCAAGCGUGAUGAUGAAUAAUUCGAUGCAACGCGAAAAACCUUACCUACCCUUGAUAUGUCUGGAAUCCUGAAGAGAUUUGGGAGUGCUCGCAAGAGAACCGGAACACAGGUGCUGCAUGGCUACGUCAGCUCGUGUCGUGAGAUGUUGGGUUAAGUCCUGGCAACGAGCGCAACCCUUGUCAUUAGUUGCUACGAAAGGACACUCUAAUGAGAUCGCUGGUGACAAACCGAGGAAGGUGGGGAUGACGUCAAGUCCUCAUGGCCCUUAUGGGUAGGGCUUACACGUCAUACAAUGGUCGGGACAGAGGGUCGCCAACCCGCGAGGGGAGCCAAUCCCAGAAACCCGAUCGUAGUCCGGGACUUCGCAGCCCGUAGCUCGACUGCGCGAAGUCGGAAUCGCUAGUAAUCGUGAUCAGCAUGUCGCGGUGAAUACGUUCCCGGGUCUUGUACACACCGCCUGUCACACCAAGGUGGAGUGUUUACUAGAAGAGUUAGUUUCCAACUCAAGAGGGCGAUUACCACGUAGGAUUCGCAUGACUGGGUGAAGUCGUAACAAGGUAACCCAGCGAUACCCGAUGCCUCCAGGAGCACACACCGAAUUCAGCG
rnacentral:rRNA from 1 species